rnacentral:rRNA from 1 species
AGUGAAUGCUGGCGGUAGGCCUAACACAUGCAAGUCGAACGGCAGCACAGUAAGAGCUUGCUCUUACGGGUGGCGAGUGGCGGACGGGUGAGGAAUACAUCGGAAUCUACUUUUACGUGGGGGAUAACGUAGGGAAACUUACGCUAAUACCGCAUACGACCUACGGGUGAAAGCAGGGGAUCUUCGGACCUUGCGCGAUUGAAUGAGCCGAUGUCGGAUUAGCUAGUUGGCGGGGUAAAGGCCCACCAAGGCGACGAUCCGUAGCUGGUCUGAGAGGAUGAUCAGCCACACUGGAACUGAGACACGGUCCAGACUCCUACGGGAGGCAGCAGUGGGGAAUAUUGGACAAUGGGCGCAAGCCUGAUCCAGCCAUACCGCGUGGGUGAAGAAGGCCUUCGGGUUGUAAAGCCCUUUUGUUGGGAAAGAAAAGCAGCAGGUUAAUACCCCGCUGUUCUGACGGUACCCAAAGAAUAAGCACCGGCUAACUUCGUG